rnacentral:rRNA from 1 species
AUUGAACGCUGGCGGAAUGCUUUACACAUGCAAGUCGAACGGCAGCACGGGGGCAGCCCUGGUGGCGAGUGGCGAACGGGUGAGUAAUACAUCGGAACGUGCCCGGUUGUGGGGGAUAACGUAGCGAAAGUUACGCUAAUACCGCAUACGAUCUGAGGAUGAAAGCGGGGGACCUUCGGGCCUCGCGCGAUCGGAGCGGCCGAUGUCAGAUUAGGUAGUCGGUGGGGUAAAGGCCUACCAAGCCGACGAUCUGUAGCUGGUCUGAGAGGACGACCAGCCACACUGGGACUGAGACACGGCCCAGACUCCUACGGGAGGCAGCAGUGGGGAAUUUUGGACAAUGGGCGCAAGCCUGAUCCAGCCAUUCCGCGUGCAGGACGAAGGCCUUCGGGUUGUAAACUGCUUUUGUACGGAACGAAAAGGCUCUGGCUAAUACCUGGGGCUCAUGACGGUACCGUAAGAAUAAGCACCGGCUAACUACGUG